rnacentral:misc_RNA from 1 species
GUAACGAUUACGUUGUUUCUGACGCUGAUUGCAAUUACAAAGGGUUUAAAGGGUCCUACUGGCAAGCAAGCCUGCCGAGGAAACAAUAGGUGCGCAAAAAGCAAGGGUAGGGUUCAGUUAGCAAGCUCGGAUCACGGAGGUCGAACCCGACCAACGACUGUGUCGCUGGCGUAUUCUCCCGUCCGCCCCAGCCAGUGGAACCGUACAUCCACUCACUGUCCUUUCGGAGAGCCUGCCCCGUGGCCUAUGUUAUGGUAAUGAUCCUUCCGCAGGUUCACCUACGGAAA